UACGUAGGGUGCAAGCGUUGUCCGGAAUUAUUGGGCGUAAAGAGCUCGUAGGCGGUUUGUCACGUCUGCUGUGAAAAUCCAAGGCUCAACCUUGGACUUGCAGUGGGUACGGGCAGGCUAGAGUGCGGUAGGGGAGAUGGGAAUUCCUGGUGUAGCGGUGGAAUGCGCAGAUAUCAGGAGGAACACCAAUGGCGAAGGCACAUCUCUGGGCCGUAACUGACGCUGAGGAGCGAAAGCGUGGGGAG
rnacentral:rRNA from 1 species